GGGGAGAUAGUUCAGUGGUAGAGCACUUGCCUGGAAUGUUUGAGGCCUUGGAUUCAAUCCCCAGCAUCACCG
rnacentral:tRNA from 1 species